UGUCUGUGUCUAUAAAAUGUUUUCUUUGAGUAGUUGCCUGUCUGUCUGUCUGUCUGUCUGUCGGUCGGUCUACGUGUGACGGCUUGUCUGUUUCUGUUUUCCUUCUGUUUUACUGUCUGGAAGUCUGCUUCUUUUCUUGUGUUUCUGUUCUUGUUUGUUUGUUUAGAUACUGGUUUAUUAUUUGGCUCCAUGUUGGUCCUCCAAACGUUACCUUGGACCCAGUCUCCCAGGAGUUAAAGGAGGACACUCCAGCCGCCAGGUGGCUAAAUGUAGUGCGGGGAAAAAAGGUUCCGAGGGAAAAGUUUAUCUACCACUCGCCUGAGAUGACGGACGAGGGCAAAGCCAAUUCCUGAAAGCCUGGUCAGAGAAAG